AGGGCGCCCGGCGCGCCUCGGAGCGCACGUUCCGCGCCUUCUCCUGCCCGCUGGCUGGACAUUAUGCGGCCGAGCAACCGAGCCCCAGUCCUCCGCCUCCUUCUCCUCCUCCUGCGGCCCGAGCCGCUCAGCUCACGGCAGGCGGCAGCGUUGCUCAGCCGAGCGCAGACGGGACCCUCUCUGCAAGACCUCAGCGACUCCUAAAGUCAAAAAGUUGGCGGCAGGGCGCCGGGGUUCCGCGCGCUCUCCACUGUUUCUGCCUCGCGUCGCCGCCAGCCACCAAAGCCGGCAGGAGGGAGGGGGUGGGAGAAGCGGGGGGGAGGGGUGAGGAGCACCAUGCAGUUAGUAUCCUGGGCCACACUGCUAACGCUCCUGGUGCCGGACCUGGUUGAGAUGAGGAGCCCUGACGCCGCGGCGGCCGUGCGCAAGGACAGGCUGCACCCGAGGCAAGUGAAAUUAUUAGAGACUCUGAGCGAAUAUGAGAUCGCGUCUCCCAUCCGAGUGAACACCCUCGGGGAACCCUUUCCCACGAACGUGCACUUCAAAAGAAGGCGACGAAGCAUUAACUCUGCCUCUGACCCCUGGCCUGCCUUCGCCGCCUCCUCCUCGUCUUCCUCUACCUCUUCCCAGGCGCAUUACCGCCUCUCAGCCUUCGGCCAGAAGUUUCUAUUUAAUCUCACCGCCCAUACCGGAUUUAUCGCUCCACUGUUCACUGUCACCCUCUUUGGAGAGCCAGGGGUGAACCAGAGCAAGCUGUACUCCGAAGAGGAAAUGGAACUUAGGCACUGUUUCUACAAAGGCCAUGUCAAUACCAAGUCCGAGCACACUGCGGUCAUCAGCCUGUGCUCCGGAAUGAUGGGCACAUUCCGGUCCCACGACGGAGAUUAUUUUAUUGAACCACUGCUGUCUGUGGAUGAGCAAGAGGAUGAAGAGGAACAGAACAAACCCCACAUUAUUUAUAGGCGCAGUACCCCUCAGAGGGAGCCCUCAGCAGGAAGGCGUGCCUGUGGCACCUCAGAAUUCAAGAACAGUCACAAUAAAGACAAGCGGAAAAGCAGACUGCAAAAGCGGAGAAAGAGGAACAGCCUGGCCGAUGAUGUGGCUCUGUUAAAGAGCGGCUUGGCAACCGAAAUGUUCUCCGGGUACAGCAAUAAGACAAGCGGCACGAGGGACAGGAGGAACCACAAAAGAGCCAAACGCUUCUUGUCCUACCCACGGUUUGUAGAAGUGAUGGUGGUAGCUGACCACAGAAUGGUUUUGUACCAUGGAGCAAACCUUCAGCAUUAUAUUUUAACCCUGAUGUCGAUUGUAGCUUCUAUCUAUAAAGACUCAAGUAUUGGAAAUUUAAUUAAUAUUGUUAUUGUGAACUUAGUUGUGAUUCAUAAUGAACAGGAAGGACCUUCCAUAAGUUUCAAUGCCCAGACAACACUAAAAAACUUUUGCCAGUGGCAGCAUGCCAAGAACCACUUAGGUGGGAUACAGCAUGACACCGCUGUUCUGGUCACAAGGGAGGAUAUCUGCAGAGCUCAGGACAAAUGUGACACCUUAGGUCUUGCUGAAUUGGGAACCAUCUGUGACCCCUACAGAAGUUGUUCCAUUAGUGAAGACAGUGGGCUGAGCACAGCUUUCACAAUAGCCCACGAGCUGGGCCAUGUGUUCAAUAUGCCUCACGAUGACAGCAAUAAAUGCAAAGAAGAAGGUGUGAAGAGCCCCCAGCACGUCAUGGCGCCAACAUUGAACUUCUACACCAACCCUUGGAUGUGGUCCAAGUGCAGUCGAAAAUACAUCACUGAGUUCUUGGACACUGGGUAUGGCGAGUGCUUGUUGAAUGAACCUGAAUCCAGAACCUACCCUUUGCCUUCCCAACUCCCAGGCCUCCUCUACAACGUGAAUAAACAAUGUGAAUUGAUUUUUGGGCCAGGUUCUCAGGUGUGCCCAUAUAUGAUGCAAUGUAGACGACUCUGGUGCAAUAAUGUGGAUGGAGCACACAAAGGCUGCAGGACUCAGCACACGCCCUGGGCUGACGGAACCGAGUGUGAGCCUGGAAAGCACUGCAAGUUUGGAUUUUGUGUUCCCAAAGAGAUGGAGGCCCCUGCGACUGAUGGAUCCUGGGGAAGUUGGAGUCACUUUGGAACGUGCUCCAGAACAUGCGGAGGAGGCAUCAAAACCGCCAUCAGAGAGUGCAACCGACCAGAACCAAAAAAUGGUGGGAAGUACUGUGUGGGGAGGAGAAUGAAGUUCAAAUCCUGCAACACCGAGCCUUGCCUGAAGCAGAAGCGCGAUUUCCGUGAAGAGCAGUGUGCUCACUUUGAUGGCAAGCACUUUAACAUCAAUGGUCUGCUGCCCAGCGUGCGCUGGGUCCCCAAGUACAGUGGAAUUUUGAUGAAGGACCGAUGUAAGUUGUUCUGCAGAGUGGCAGGAAACACAGCCUACUACCAGCUCCGAGACAGAGUGAUCGAUGGAACACCUUGUGGCCAGGACACAAAUGAUAUCUGUGUCCAAGGCCUUUGCAGGCAAGCUGGAUGUGAUCAUAUUUUAAACUCAAAAGCCCGGAGAGAUAAAUGUGGGAUUUGUGGUGGUGAUAAUUCUUCAUGCAAAACAGUGGCAGGAACAUUUAACACAGUCCAUUAUGGUUACAAUACUGUUGUCCGAAUUCCAGCUGGAGCUACCAGCCUUGAUGUGCGGCAGCACAGCUUCUCAGGGAAGUCCGAGGAUGACAACUACUUAGCUUUAUCAAACAGUAAAGGUGAGUUCCUGCUAAAUGGAGACUUUGUUGUCUCAAUGUCCAAAAGGGAGGUCCGUGUGGGGAAUACUAUGAUCGAGUACAGCGGAUCUGAUCAUGCUGUGGAAAGACUGAACGCCACAGACCGGAUCGAGGAAGAGCUUCUCCUUCAGGUGUUGUCGGUGGGGAAGUUGUACAACCCUGAUGUGCGGUACUCCUUCAAUAUUCCAAUUGAGGACAAACCUCAACAAUUCUACUGGAACAGUCAUGGGCCGUGGCAAGCCUGUAGCAAGCCCUGCCAAGGGGAGCGGAGACGAAAACUGGUUUGCACCAGGGAGUCUGAUCAGCUCACUGUUUCUGAUCAAAGAUGUGACCGGCUGCCCCAGCCAGGACCUGUCACUGAAGCGUGCGGCACAGACUGCGACUUGAGGUGGCAUGUUGCCAGCAAAAGUGAAUGCAAUGCCCAGUGUGGUUUGGGUUACCGCACUUUAGACAUCCACUGUGCCAAAUACAGCAGGCUGGAUGGGAAGUCUGAGAAGGUUGAUGACAGUUUUUGUAGUAGUCAACCCAAACCAAGCAACCAGGAAAAAUGCUCAGGAGAAUGUAACACAGGUGGAUGGCGCUACUCAGCUUGGACAGAAUGUUCUAAAAGCUGUGAUGGUGGUACCCAGAGAAGAAGAGCUAUUUGUGUCAACACCCGCAAUGAUGUCCUGGAUGACAGCAAGUGCACACAUCAGGAGAAAGUUGUCGUACAGAGAUGCAAUGAGUUCUCUUGUCCUCAUUGGAAAUCGGGGGACUGGUCAGAGUGCUUGGUCACCUGUGGAAAAGGACAUAAGCACCGCCAGGUCUGGUGUCAGUUUGGCGAAGAUCGAUUAAGUGAUAGAAUGUGUGACCCUGAGGUCAAGCCAGAGUCCAUGCAGACUUGUCAGCAGCCAGAGUGUGCAGCCUGGCAGGCAGGUCCCUGGGGACAGUGCAGUGCCACUUGUGGACAGGGAUACCAACUAAGGGCAGUGAAGUGCGUCAUUGGGACUUACAUGUCAGUGGUAGAUGACAAUGUCUGUAACGCAGCAACUAGGCCGACCGAUACCCAGGACUGUGAACUAUCAUCUUGUCAUCCUCCCCUGUUGGGCCCAGAACCAAGGAGAAAUGCACACAGUGUGCCCAGAACCCAGUGGCGAUUUGGGUCUUGGACUCCAUGCUCAGCCACUUGUGGAAAAGGAACCCGGAUGAGAUAUGUCAGCUGUCGAGAUGAGGACGGUUCUGUGGCUGAUGAGAGUGCCUGUGCUACCUUACCUAAACCAGUAGCCAAGGAAGAAUGUUCUGUGACACCCUGUGGACAGUGGAAGGCUCUAGACUGGAGCUCCUGUUCCGUGACUUGUGGGCAAGGUAAGGCAACCCGACAAGUGGUAUGUGUCAACUACAGCGACCACGUGAUUGAUCGGAGUGAGUGUGACCAGGAUUAUAUCCCAGAGACUGACCAGGACUGUUCCAUGUCACCAUGCCCUCAACGGAACCCAAGCGCUGGCUUUGCUUACCCAUUUCAAAACGAGGACUUCCGUCCCCGGAGUGACAGCCCUAGCCGCACCCACGUGCUUGGAGGAAACCAGUGGAGAACCGGCCCUUGGGGAGCAUGUUCUAGUACCUGUGCCGGAGGGUCCCAGAGGAGAGUUGUGGUGUGUCAGGAUGAAAACGGAUACACGGCCAGUGAUUGUGUAGAGAGAAUCAAACCUGAUGAGCAAAGAGCCUGUGAAUCUGGCCCGUGUCCCCAAUGGGCUUACGGCAGCUGGGGAGAGUGUACCAAGCUGUGUGGCGGAGGCAUGCGGACGAGACUGGUGGUCUGUCAGCGGGCCAACGGUGACCGGUUCCCAGAUUUGAGCUGUGAAGUUCUUGACAAGCCUCCGGACCGUGAGCAGUGCAACACACAAGCUUGCCCACAAGACGCUGCAUGGAGUACUGGCCCUUGGAGCUCGUGUUCUGUCUCUUGUGGUCGAGGGCAUAAACAACGCAAUGUUUACUGCUUGGCCAAAGAUGGAAGCCAUUUAGAGAGUGAUUACUGUAAGCACCUUACUAAGCCACAUGGGCACAGAAGGUGCCGAGGAGGACGCUGCCCCAGAUGGAAGGCUGGCGCAUGGAGUCAGUGCUCUGUGUCCUGUGGCCAAGGCGUGCAGCAGAGGCAUGUGGGCUGUCAGAUCGGGACACACAAAACAGCCAGAGAGAGUGAGUGCAGCCCAUACACCAGACCAGAGUCGGAGCGUGUCUGCCAAGCCUCACCAUGUCCUCUCUACACUUGGAGGGCAGAGCAAUGGCAAGAAUGCACCAAGACGUGUGGUGAAGGCUCCCGGUACCGACAGGUGGUGUGUGUAGCCGAGGACCAAACCGAGGUGCACAGUGCACAUUGUGACUCGGACCAGCGGCCUCCAGACCGUGAGAGCUGCAGCCUGCAGCCCUGCGAGUAUGUGUGGAUCACAGGAGAAUGGUCCGAGUGCUCAGUGACCUGUGGAAAGGGCUACAGGCAAAGGCUGGUCUCCUGCAGUGAGAUUUAUACCGGCAAGGAGAACUACGAAUACAGCUACCAGACCACGGUGAACUGCCCAGGCACGCAGCCGCCAAGCGUCCGUCCCUGCUACCUGAGGGACUGUCCUGUCUCAGCCACCUGGAGAGUUGGUAACUGGGGCAGCUGCUCGGUGUCCUGCGGCGUGGGAGUCAUGCAUAGAUCUGUGCAGUGUUUAACCAAUGAAGACCAACCCAGCCACUUGUGUCCCACUGAUCUCAAGCCAGAAGAACACAAAACCUGCCACAACGUUUAUAAUUGUGAGCUACCCCAGAACUGCAAGGAGGUAAAAAGACUCAACAGCGCCAGUGUAGAUGGAGAGUACUUCCUGAUUGUUAGAGGGAAACCCCUAAAGGUAUUCUGUGCAGGGAUGCAUUCUGACUAUCCCAAGGAGUACGUGACGCUGGCCCAUGGUGACUCGGAGAAUUUCUCCGAAGUUUACGGGCACAGGCUGCACAACCCCACAGAAUGUCCCUAUAACGGGAGCCGACGAGACGACUGUCAUUGCCGGAAGGAUUACACAGCUGCUGGCUUUUCCAGUUUCCAGAAAAUUCGAAUCGACCUGACCAGCAUGCAGAUCAUAACCACUGACUUAGAGUUUGCAAGAACAAGUGAAGGACAUCCGGUCCCUUUCGCCACUGCUGGGGACUGCUACAGCGCCGCCAAGUGUCCACAGGGGCGUUUUAGUAUCAACCUUUAUGGGACCGGCCUGUCUUUAACGGAGUCUGCCCGAUGGACAUCACAAGGGAAUUAUGCCGUUUCGGACAUCAAGAAGUCUCCGGAUGGUACCCGGGUUGUUGGGAAAUGCGGCGGUUACUGUGGGAAGUGUACUCCAUCCUCGGGCACGGGCCUGGAGGUGCGAGUUUCAUAACUAAGUUGAGUUCAUUUAUUUAUGUGUGUAUGUGUUGGUGCGUGCACAGGCCUCCGCAUGCCUGUGGAUCUGCGGACAACCCACAGGUGUCAGUUCUCACCUUCCAGCAAGUGCCUCUCCUCACUCUGCCGCUUGCUGCUCUCCUUCUCUGGUGCUGGAGGUCAAACCCGGGACCUCACACUACUAGACAGACACCCCACCACUGAGCUGCAUCCCCAGCCCACUUCUGUGUUGCUCGGAGCAAAGAAAUAAGUAAAGAAAUAACCAAAUAAGUAAGAGUUCACUUUGUAACCUGGAGAAGACCCUAAGUGGCACUUGGUAACUCUGCAUGUGAAAAUGCCUAGUCGCCUGCUCUCGGCUUUCAGCCUUUGGCAGAGAAGGGGCUCUGAAGAGGAAACUAUUAUGGAAUGGAUGAAGGAUAGUAAUUCAAUACCUCCACCUUAACUUUGGGUGCAUCUGUGUGUGUGUGUGUGCGGACCUGUCUGCUUGUGUGUGUGAACGUGUGUGUAUAUGAGUGUACAUAUGCAUAUAUAUAAAUAUAUAUAAAUAUAUAUAUACAGAUUGAGCAUCCCUUAUCCCAAAAUUUAAAGUCUGAAAUGCUCCAAGUUCUGAAACCUUUUGAGUGUCAGCAUGAGAUCUCAAAUGGAAAAUUUCAUGCCAUGAAACUUUGUUUUAUACACAAAAUUUGUUGACGUACCAUGCAAAAUUACAUUUCUGUCAUGUAUGUAAAGGUGCAUGGGAAACACCAAUGAAGUCCAUAUCCCACGUUCUUGGGCAAGUAUUGCUCUCUGCCUGAGUACCCUACUGCUUAAGAGCUAUACUAAAAACUCCUAGUAAGCCCAACGCCACUUAAAAGAAAGAAGCAUAAAUGAAUACUAUGUUCAGAUUUGAAUCCCAUCCCCAAGGUAUCUCAUUUUUUUAUAUGAGAAUAUCACCAAGUCUUUGAAAUGUCCGACAUACACACUAAUGGUCUCAAGCAUUUCAAUAAGGGAUACUCAACCUGUGGAAUACCCUAAUGAUGUAAAGUUUAAUAUUUAUGUUUGAAAUUAUUUAUUGUGAUGUAAUAUUUUUGUACGUAAAAUGAUUUUAUUGUGACUGCCUGUGCAUGACGCCCUCCCUUGCAGUCAGACCGCUGCAUUUUACGUACUCUACAUUAUAUGUAGUAUAUGACAAAGUGACCCUUCAUUAUCACGGUACACUGUUGUUUACUUUUUACCUGAAAAUGUGUUUUUACUGUUACAUUUUGAGAAUUGUAAUUAUUUUUUUUAACAAUCUAGCUGUCAUCAAGGUGCUAUGUGAGUUGAAUAAGGGUAUUUUUGGCAAUUGUGGGAAUGUUUCAUUAGCCAAGAAGUGAGUUAGCAACAUCACAGAUUGUACCAACUGCUAAUUAUCGUAUCUAUUCCGUUUCAUGUGAUCUCUGGGAAGAAAUAUGCUGCCUUGGUGCUAAUAUUAUAUGUUUUUAAAGUAAUCUUCAGAGUAAAAAAUAUAAACACAAUAAAAGGGAGUAACAGAUAGAUAAUUCAUAAUGGAUAAAAUCACUUGGCUAGAGUAAGACCCACUAUUAACACUUAUUUGUAGACAUGCCUUUUUUGGAUAGUAGCUGGACUCAUUGCUUCCUGCUGUUGUUGGUAAUAUGCUUUACUCUGGUCCAUGGUGCCUUGGACUCCUUUCAAUCAUUGGGAGGGUCCACCAAUAGCUUCCUUACAUAGAGACACUGGGAAAGGGAGGGUCUCCUGCUGUUUUGUCAAGAUCUCCUCAAAGACACCCAAGUUUACCAGUAUCAAGACAAAGGAUAUACAGCAAGAUCAUAGCCUUAACACCCCUUGGCAUACUCAUGGCCUUCAGCACCCCUAAGCAGACUCGAGAGAACUACAGAAGCAGAUUCUGAGCCAUGGAGAUCGACCACCUUUUACAUGAAAACUUUGGCCAAUGAUAUGACUUCCCUUCAGGCUGUGAGCCUAAUACCCUGCCGGGUUUCCUGUGGUCUUUGGCGUUUGUGUGAAAAAUAAACUGGCAUAUAAGACGCCCAAGUCUUUCUGAUCUUCCACGAGUCCACCUUUUGUUACUUCUUUCUGAAAUGGAAGUGCUGAAGCUGUGGUCACAAGACGUUUUGCCUGAGAAAGCCUGCCCAAGCUUUCCAAGACCAAAGAGAUUAGGGAAACCCUGACAGUAUUCUCCAACUCCACAGAAAUACCAGAGCACAGUAUACUCAGUGUAUGAACAAGUGUCAUCCUCUAUUGUUAAUAUAUGUGAAACAUAUUAUAAAUAAAUAUCGUGACCACAUCCAAACCAUGUAUGGUUCUCUUGGCUUCUGGUUUGUAUUUGAUUAACAUUCAAAUACAAAUGUCUCUAGGGUUUUUUUCUCUAUAUUUUUGAGAUUAUAAUGUAUUACAUCCUUUUCCUUUCUUCAAACCUUACUGUCUUAGGGUUUCUACUGCUGUGAAGAGACACCAUGACCAAGGCAAUUCUUAUAAGGGAAAAACAUUUAACUGGGGUGACUUACAUUUUCAGAGGUUUAGUCCAUUAUCAUCAAGGUGCUACAUGGUGGAGUGCAGGCAGACAUGGUGCUGGAGCUGAGAGUCCUACAUCUUGAUCAGUAGGCGACAGAAAGUAGUCUGUCUCACUGGGCGUGGCUUGAGCAUAUAUGAACCCUCAAAGCCUGCCACCACAGUGACAUACUUCCUCCAACAAGGCCACACCUCCCAUUAAUGCCACUCCCUUUGGGAGCCAUUGUUGUUUUUAUCUAAGUUGUUCUAUUAACCAAUAAAGAUUUGGGAGUAAGA